UCGCACUAGUGUGAAUCAUCGAAUCUUUGAACGCACCUUGCACCGGCAGAGUCCAUCUGCCGGUAUACCUGUUUGAGCAUCAUUUGCAUUUAUCUGCGGGGCAAACUUUGUUUGUCUGGCGGGAGUUGGGAUCCAUGCGGCGUCGUCCAUUGGACUGGCGGAACAUGUUUUCUCAAAUGCAGCGCGAACGCAGCAACGCCGCUGCGCCGAACGAGGAUAUUUGCGCAAGCAAACGAACCGCAAGGCGCACCGGCCGACACUGUCGGAGCAUUUGCAGACGGAGGGACAGUAGGAGGGAGAGUAGAUGGAGUGUUGUUGGCCUCGCUGACAUACAUUCUUUCUCCUCCCAACCCUGCGCCCUCUUAAUCUAAAGAACAAGUGUGAUCUCAAAUCAGGCAAGACGACCCGCUGAACUUAAGCAUAUCAAUAAGCGGAGG
rnacentral:rRNA from 1 species